GAUGAACGCUAGCGGCAGGCUUAACACAUGCAAGUCGAGGGGUAUUGGUUUUCGGACCAAGAGACCGGCGCACGGGUGCGUAACGCGUAUGCAAUCUACCUUUUGCAGAGGGAUAGCCCCAGAGAAAUUUGGAUUAAUACCUCAUAGUAUAGUACUUUGGCAUCAAGGAACUAUUAAAGUCACAACGGCAAAGAUGAGCAUGCGUCCCAUUAGCUAGUUGGUAAGGUAACGGCUUACCGAGGCUACGAUGGGUAGGGGUCCUGAGAGGGAGAUCCCCCACACUGGUACUGAGACACGGACCAGACUCCUACGGGAGGCAGCAGUGAGGAAUAUUGGACAAUGGGCGCAAGCCUGAUCCAGCCAUGCCGCGUGCAGGAUGACGGUCCUAUGGAUUGUAAACUGCUUUUAUACAGGAAGAAACACUCCGACGUGUCGGAGCUCGACGGUACUGUAAGAAUAAGGAUCGGCUAACUCCGCGCCAGC
rnacentral:rRNA from 1 species